rnacentral:rRNA from 1 species
GCAUCGAUGAAGAACGCAGCGAAAUGCNAUACUUGGUGUGAAUUGCAGAAUCCCGUGAACCAUCGAGUCUUUGAACGCAAGUUGCGCCCGAAGCCGUCAGGCCGAGGGCACGUCUGCCUGGGCGUCACGC